rnacentral:rRNA from 1 species
CUCCGGUUGAUCCCGCCGGACCCGACUGCUAUCGGAUUGAGAUUUAGCCAUGCGAGUCGAACGUCCCCCUGUUGCGGGGGGCGUGGCGUACGGCUCAGUAACACGUAGUCAACCUGCCCUGGAGACAAGGACAACCCCGGGAAACUGGGAUUAAUCCUUGAUAGGUCAUCUCAUCUGGAAGGAGAGAUGGCUUAAAGGGGUACGCGGGCUUCUUCCGCGAAUUCGCUCCAGGAUGGGACUGCGUCCGAUCAGGCUGUUGGCGGGGUAAUGGCCCACCAAACCUGUAACCGGUACGGGCCUUGAGAGAGGUGGCCCGGAGAUGGACACUGAGAGAAGGGUCCAGGUCCUACGGGGCGCAGCAGGCGCGAAACCUUCGCAAUGCGCGAAAGCGUGACGAGGUUAAUCCGAGUGAUUUCCGCUGAGGAGAUCUUUUGUCAGCUGUAAAUAGGCAGGCGAAUAAGGGGAGGGCAAGCCUGGUGUCAGCCGCCGCGGUAAUACCAGCUCCUCGAGUGGUCGGGGCGAUUAUUGGGCCUAAAGCAUCCGUAGCCGGUUCCGUAGGUCCUCUGUUAAAUCCAACCGCUUAACGGUUGACCUGCAGAGGAUACCGCGGGACUAGGAGGCGGGAGAGGCGGACGGUAUUCCGCGUGUAGGGGUAAAAUCCUUUGAUCCGCGGAGGACCACCAGUGGCGAAGGCGGUCCGCCAGAACGCGCUCGACGGUGAGGGAUGAAAGCUGGGGGAGCGAACCGGAUUAGAUACCCGGGUAGUCCCAGCCGUAAACGAUGCUAGCUAGAUGAUUCAUUCGCAAGUCGCGAAUGAAGUGUCGCAGGGAAGCCGUUAAGCUAGCCGCCUGGGGAGUACGGUCGCAAGACUGAAACUUAAAGGAAUUGGCGGGGGAGCA